CACCUGCGCCACAAGUGGCAACCGCUUUUAUUGGGCCUAAAGCGUCCGUAGCCGGUUCUGUAAAUUUUCUGUGAAAUCGUUGCGCUUAACGUAACGGCGUGCAGGAAACACUGCAGAACUAGGGACCGGGAGGCGUCAGAGGUAUUCCGGAGGGAGCGGUAAAAUGCUAUAAUCUCCGGAGGACCCCCUGUGGCGAAGGCGUCUGACGAGAACGGAUCCAACGGUGAGGGACGAAAGCCAGGGGAGCGAACCGG
rnacentral:rRNA from 1 species